rnacentral:rRNA from 1 species
GACGAACGCUGGCGGCGUGCUUAACACAUGCAAGUCGAACGGUGAACGAGGGAGCUUGCUCCCUCCGGAUCAGUGGCGAACGGGUGAGUAACACGUGAGCAAUCUGCCCCGAACUCUGGGAUAAGCGUUGGAAACGACGUCUAAUACCGGAUACGACGCGGGAGGGCAUCCUCUCCGCGUGGAAAGAACUUCGGUUCGGGAUGAGCUCGCGGCCUAUCAGCUUGUUGGUGAGGUAACGGCUCACCAAGGCGACGACGGGUAGCCGGCCUGAGAGGGUGACCGGCCACACUGGGACUGAGACACGGCCCAGACUCCUACGGGAGGCAGCAGUGGGGAAUAUUGCACAAUGGGCGCAAGCCUGAUGCAGCAACGCCGCGUGAGGGACGACGGCCUUCGGGCUGUAAACCUCUUUUAGCAGGGAAGAAGCGAAAGUGACGGUACCUGCAGAAAAAGCACCGGCUAACUACGUG